UGGCAUGUAGGGGAAGCCUUACAGGGCUCCAACAUUCAGCUCCAGCUCAGGUGAGCACAAGAUUUGGAGUGUUGCGUCCUGUGUGUGUUUUGGGGCUCAGGACCAUGCCGGGGCAUGGUGGAUGAGAGCAUUGUGUAGGAACCAUGGGGAAGGUGGCAGGAUUGUCCUUUGAAGUGGCCUGCCAGGCAGGUCUAGGAGGUCAGGGCCUCCACCCCCAACCCAAGCAGUAGGAAGCUCCCUUUUUAGCCUCAGCAGAUGUCUCCAGGAAGCUUUGUAGAGAGGAAGAUUUGGAAGAGCAUAGACAGGCUUGUCUCCAGGUGGCAGGGAGAGUGAUUUUCUUGUAGGCUCCAUCAUGGAAGAUGUCAGCAGUGUGGAGGUGGGCCUUUGUAGGCUUUCAGUGCUCAUUGAAGCAAGGCUUCCUGUUGGGGAGUGCAAAGCAUUUCCCGACUGAACAUGGCCUAGCUACCCUGCAGACCAGGAUUAGAGUGUACAUAGGAAGGAGGGAUAGAGAAAGACAGAGAUAGAGGUGGAAUUGGAGGUAGAGGAGGAUAGACAGAUGGUUGGGGGGACAGGGAGCCAGAGGGUAGCAGAGAAAUUGAGAAUCUGCAUGUGGGAUGUUGGGUGUUUUCGUGUUUGUUGGUGUUUUUCUAUGCAGGCUGGUGGGCAGACCCAUUCUGUCUAUGGACACUUGUUUCUCUUCCAUGGAUCUGGGCCCCUGGAGGGAAUUUUGUGUGAGGAUACCUGGAAUAGGGGUGGUUGUGUGCUGCAGGAAUCCUGGUGUUUGUGUUAAGUGUCCCUCAGCUUCUCUGUUGCCUGUCCUAGGUCCAGUUGAAUGUCUUGAAGAGCUGAGUGAGUCCUGUGUGUGCCUAGGCCCUGCCACAGCUCAGGGACCUGGAUGGAUUGCCUGUUGAGGGGAGGUUGUGGAUGUCCCUGGCCCCUAGUGAUCCCUGCUUCGGGAGAUGUGGGGCAGCAUCCACCUGAUGGACUUCAUCAAGGAUGCCAAGGUUUUGGAAGGAAGCCCUUCUCCUCUCCCAUCUCAAUAUCAAACCAUGGGACCAUGGAACAUGGGACUCAGGCCCCCGACGCUGGAGUCGUGACCAGUGCACACAGCUGCCUGCCCUUUUCCCUUGUGUCCAUCCCAGAGCGGCCUUCUGCCAGGUCCAGUUGAAUGUCUUGAAGAGCUGAGUGAGUCCUGUGUGUGCCUAGGCCCUGCCACAGCUCAGGGACCUGGAUGGAUUGCCUGUUGAGGGGAGGUUGUGGAUGUCCCUGGCCCCUAGUGAUCCCUGCUUCGGGAGAUGUGGGGCAGCAUCCACCUGAUGGACUUCAUCAAGGAUGCCAAGGUUUUGGAAGGAAGCCCUUCUCCUCUCCCAUCUCAAUAUCAAACCAUGGGACCAUGGAACAUGGGACUCAGGCCCCCGACGCUGGAGUCGUGAGCAGUGCACACAGCUGCCUGCCCUUUUCCCUUGUGUCCAUCCCAGAGCGGCCUUCUGCCAGGUGGGAAGCCCGUGCUGGGCCUAGGGUCCCAUUGAGUUGGGUGGAGUCUUGUAGACAGCUGCUGGAUCUCUGAAAGCUGCGGUGUGUGUGUGUGUGUGUGUGUGUGUGUGUGUGUGUGUGUGUGUGUGUCUGUGUCUGUGUCUGUGUGUUAGGGGUGAGGGCCAUUCUAGGGCAGGGAUGCAGCUGUGAUAAUACCCUGGUUUGGCUGCUAGGGGGCGACGCUCAGCCCCUGGUCCCGAAAUCCUUGAGUCUGUUUCUGAGGCUCCUCCCCUAGAGUCCAGAUUGGCAUGUGGUUUCUGUAGGAUUCCCUUAGGGUCUGGUGUGGGCUCUCCAGUGCUUCUGCGCCCACAUGCACACACUCCGCACUAGGGCCCCUCCAUGACACCCUCCACCACCAGCCCCCUCUCCAGGUUCCACAUGAUACCCUCAGGCGGGGCCUUCAUGGGCUGGCAUGCUCCCAAAGCCGAGUGUCUCAGGGCAGUGCAGGGCAUGGAGGAACCUGUUAAGGUCGGUAACCAACAUCUGUCCACCGCACCCCCAGCUGCUGCACACCCUGGGAUCCCUAGCAGCAGCCCUAGAGCCUCAAGUCUGUGCAGUCCAGGCCAACAUGGUUGGUCUCCAUCUUGGAACUAGACAGGAGAAUUCUGGCCUUUUUUUUGAAAAUUUUUUUGGUUUGCGAAGGGCGGAGGCAGAGCACCCUUCGCCCUGGGCGGCUGACAUUCGCGAUGCACUGCUGCCAUCACGCGGAUGCAGUUUGCCUAUUCCGCCAGCAAGUCCCUGUGCUUUACUGGAAAUGGAGUCGGACCGACUAGGGAAGGGCUUCCUCGUGGGUGUCCCAGGACCAAAGCGGUUCUAUUGCCAGCUCCAUGACCCAGGGGAGCUGGAGGUGGAAGCAGGGUCCAGGUGACCAGCUCCGGGCGGGCGCCACGAGGCUCGGCUUGCGGGUCACGGAAGCACAGUCUCCCGGGUCCUCUGGGCGCCAUGUCUGGCAGGAGCAGAGGUCUUGUCAGCAGAGGAUUGUGCAGCCUGGGCUGCAUCAUGGUCGGUGUCGGGAACUUUUCCUGCCAGGGUGCAGCCUGCCUGCCCAUACCAUGGUGCACAAGGCCCCCUGCCUAGCUUUUGUCUGAGCAUCCCCAGAAGUACCCACAGCUCCCUUCCGGAGACCACACAAACUCUGCCCUGAAUCUCUGGGAGGGUCUCAGGGUCUCAGGCCUGGUGGCUAGCUUCUCUGACCAAAUGUCUGUCAUCCAUUUAACUCCUCCUGCCAUCCCCUCUCUUCUCUGGCUGCCAGGUCUUCUCUCUGGCUUGCCUUUUGUUCCUUAUACAGGGUUUUCCCUGGAGCUGUGCUUCAAGUGGAAUUCAGGGCCUGGGACCUGUCAGAAAAGGUUCCUGCUCCAGAAACACAUCCCCACAUCCCUACCAGGGGUCUGAAAGCCCCCACCCAUCAUCAUCCUCUGCAAGCUGGUUGGGUGUACCCAGUAAGGAAGGCAGUGUGGUGGCUCAAAGUGAAUCCAAGUAGAAGCAGGUAGAGAAGGGUCUGGACUCAGGGGUGCUCACAAAGAGGCCGUGUAGGACUUAGGUACCGUGGAGGUCAGAUUUCAUGGCCCCUGCCUCCCCUGACAAGCCUCCCCUCUGGGAUGGAGGACACACCUGCAGGCUGCAAACUCCUGUCUUACCUGCCUAGCUCACCUUGCCUUAAACCAGGUUA